UUUACUCUUCUCCCAUUGAUCUCACAGUAGCAGACAUGGGACCCUGGCUGAGCAAUUUACUGAUUCUUGCUGCAUGUUGUUAUGAAUGCAGAGGAGAAGACUCAGUCAUUCAGCCAUCAGGAGAUGUGAUCGCUACUGAGGGAGAACAGGUCACACUGGGCUGUCAAUUUGAUGCAGUUAAUAUGAAGGGUCUCUACCUGUUCUGGUACAAGCAUGAAGUAAACGGCUUCCCAGAGUUCAUGCUGGGACGUUUUCCUUUUGGAAGUAAAAAUGCAACUGAGUUCAAGGAUAGAUUUGAUGCCCAUCUCGAUGCAGACUCCAAGUCAGUCCCCUUGAAGAUCCAGAGGUUGCAGCCGUCUGACUCUGCUGUGUACUACUGUGCUCUGAGGCCCACUGUGUCAACAGGAUAUACAGCCUCAUUACAAAAAUGAUUUGAUAGUGUGAUGUAAGACUCUUAGAGAGCCUAGUGAAAGCUCCUCCUCAAUGCUUCCUAAGGCAGAGUUAAAGAAGUGGUGACACAUACUUGUGUGUUUUCUCUCUCCUUACCUACCCAUCUCACAGUAGACAUGGAAUCUUGGCUGAAGAAAUUUCUGGUUCUUUCUGCAUUUUGUUGGGGUAUGAUACAUUUUUGGGAUUUGCUUACUGCAUCAUUAAUUAUCCCUUUAUGUUGUCAUGACAAAAUGAGAAAGUUGCUCACUCUAUAUGCUCCCAAUGAUUUAAUGGGCAUGAAUCAUCAAACACCCUUUCUUUUUCAACGUAUAUAAUUUCUCUCCAGAAUGCAGAGGAGACAGAGUGUUACAGACAAAAGGAGUUGAGACGGCUACUGAAGGAGGACAAAUAACACUUGCCUGUCAUUACGAAACAGACGAUCCAAGUCCAUAUCUAUUCUGGUACAAACAGGGAACAAACGA